rnacentral:rRNA from 1 species
GACGUAGGGCGCAAGCGUUGUCCGGAUUUAUUGGGCGUAAAGAGCUCGUAGGCGGCUUGUUGCGUCGGCUGUGAAAACCCCGCGGCUUAACCGUGGGCUUGCAUCCGAAACUGGCAGGCUAGAGUACUAAAGAGGGUCGCGGAAUUCCCGGUGUAGAGGUGAAAUUCGUAGAUAUCGGGAGGAACACCGGUGGCGAAGGCGGCGACCUGGGUAGAUACUGACGCUGAGGUGCGAAAGCGUGGGGAGCAAACAGG